rnacentral:ncRNA from 1 species
GAGAGCCGUGUGAUGGGUGACUAUCUAGCACGGUUCAGUGAGCACGUGUAUGUAGUCUGCGCUGGUGAAUGGAAGCCCCCGCCGCAAAAAAAGAAGCGGCUCUUCCCACGGCUCUGUCACCAUUGACUCUAU